rnacentral:rRNA from 1 species
AUUGAACGCUGGCGGCAGGCCUAACACAUGCAAGUCGAACGGUAACAGGAAGAAGCUUGCUUCUUUGCUGACGAGUGGCGGACGGGUGAGUAAUGUCUGGGAAACUGCCUGAUGGAGGGGGAUAACUACUGGAAACGGUAGCUAAUACCGCAUAACGUCGCAAGACCAAAGAGGGGGACCUUCGGGCCGUUUUCCAUCGGAUGUGCCAAGAUGGGAUUAGUUAGUAGGUGGGGUAUCAGCUAACCUAGGCAACGAUCCCUAGCUGGUCUGAGAGGGUGCCCGGCCACAUUGGAACUGAGACACGAUCCAGACUCCUACGGGAGGCAGCAGUUGGGAAUAUUGCACAAUGGGCGCAAGCCUGAUGCAGCCAUGCCGCGUGUAUGAAGAAGGCCUUCGGGUUGUAAAGUCCUUUUAUCGGGGAGGAAGGGAGUAAAGUUAAUACCUUUGCUCAUUGACGUUACCCGCAGAGGAAGCGCCGGCUAACUCCGUG